CAACCCUUAAGCCUAGCUUAGCGUUGGGAGACUGCGCUAAACCGCAGCUCCUCAAAACCAGUGGCGGAGUCCUCUGUGCUCUGAGCGUAGUAAUCUUUAUCUCGCUUGUAUGAACGCAGUGGUCGACGGCCAUAAACCGCACCUCUCCUUCGGGUGAGGGCACCUUUUUAAU
rnacentral:misc_RNA from 1 species